CGCGUAGGCGGACCAUCAAGUCGGAUGUGAGAACUGUCGGCUCAACUGACAGCCUGCACUCGAUACUGGUGGUCUUGAGUACAGGAGAGGAGAGUGGAAUUCCAGGUGUAGCGGUGAAAUGCGUAGAUAUCUGGAAGAACACCAGUAGCGAAGGCGGCUCUCUGGACUGAUACUGACGCUAAAGCGCGAAGGCUUGGGGAGCAAACA
rnacentral:rRNA from 1 species